rnacentral:lncRNA from 9 species
AGAGACUUAAAAAGGAGAGAAGCAAAGGAAAAACAGCUGCUUUAAAGAAAUUCACUUUCUCACUCCCUUCUUUCAAUUGAAGAAUGUGUAUUGGAAAUCAGUGCAUUCAUCCUAAAAUAGCAUAAUACAAACAAACACACAAAUGAGCUUCCCUAAUUUUAAUGAAUAUCAAGAGUGCUUAUUUUUUAACCAGUCACUGUUCCAGAUGGUUGACCUUACCCGUCUUUGCAGCCCUCCGAGCCCCCACGUGGCGGUCGUAACACUGUUGCAUCCUCCAGAAGAGAAAAGUGAGCCUGAAGCCACAGAGCUGCAUGCCAACCAAGGGGCCUGGCGGGCCACCUCCAGACACUGACCAGCCGGCCUCGCGGGCCACCCUGGCCGUCCUCGUUUCCGACGUGGAGACAAACACGAGAAUUGGAACCAGCGUCCCCCUCUCUUCGGUUUGCCAUCCCGUUGGGACCUCCGUGCUCAUCCCAGCAGCACUGCUUUGUGCCGUUACCCACGUGAUUCAAAAGAAGCGACCACUUCGCCAAUCUAGUCUCCAGUUUAAAAUAAAGGCAAUGGGAAGCUCAUUCUGCUCCUGUCUCUUGGCUAAAUAGAAGGCACAUCCGUGACUUUGGAGCCUUGACAGGAGGAGAUAAGGAUCCAGAUCCUAUCUGGAAGUGAAGGAACACGCCUAAGAAAAGUCCAAAUUACAAAGGUUCCCGGAGGCGGGGUGAUUAUGGUUGUACAUAUUGAUAUUUUUGUAUCAUCUUGGAAUACUUUCAAUUUCACUGGGUGUAGUUUUCCUUGGAAUUCCUUAACUGUUUUGUCUGGGUGUGUGGAAAGAUCUUUAUUAAAAAAAUUGAUUUAACUCGUGAAUGGAAGAAAGAUGUCUCUUUUGGGGCACAUCAACCCCCCCCCACCCACCUCAAUGCCUUGGCCAUCCCCCAUCACCAGCCUCCCCACCACCCAGGAGCUGAGGGAGAUGAGCCUGGCAGGUGGCCUGCAGGAUGCUCCCUGCUCACCCAGUGCCUGACCCCCAGCGCCCAACUACCUCAGCC